rnacentral:rRNA from 1 species
AAUAUUGGACAAUGGGCGAAAGCCUGAUCCAGCCAUCCCGCGUGUGCGAUGAAGGCCUUCGGGUUNUAACGCACUUUUGGCAGGGANGAAACAGCCUGGGCGAAUACCCUGGGCGACUGACGGUACCUGCAGAAUAAGCACCGGCUACCUACGUGCCAGCAGCCGCGGUAAUACGUAGGGUGCAAGCGUUAAUCGGAAUUACUGGGCGUAAAGCGUGCGCAGGCGGUUCGGAAAGAAAGGUGUGAAAUCCCAGGGCUUAACCUUGGAACUGCACUUUUAACUGCCGGGCUAGAGUACGUCAGAGGGGGGUAGAAUUCCACGUGUAGCAGUGAAAUGCGUAGAGAUGUGGAGGAAUACCGAUGGCGAAGGCAGCCCCCUGGGAUGAUACUGACGCUCAUGCACGAAAGCGUGGGGAGCAAACA